GGCGAAGAUGUAUGGAAACAAUCCACCUAGCCCUCGCCUUUUACUAGGGCUAGCCGGUUCUGUGCAUCACUAUACUUCGCUGUCGAAAUCUUUGGAACAAGCGUUCGUUACUGACGCAU
rnacentral:snRNA from 1 species